AUAUCAGUAAGCGGAGGAAAAGAAACUAACAAGGAUUCCCCUAGUAACGGCGAGCGAAGCGGGAAGAGCUCAAAUUUAAAAUCUGGUAGCUUUGCCUAUCCGAAUUGUAGUUUAAAGAGGCGUUAUCUGGGUCUAGUCUGGUGCGCAAGUCCCUUGGAAUAGGGCGUCACAGAGGGUGAGAACCCCGUUUGGGCACUGGGCUAGGUCCUCUAUGAGGCGCUCUCUACGAGUCGGGUUGUUUGGGAAUGCAGCUCAAAAUGGGUGGUAAAUUUCAUCUAAGGCUAAAUACUGGCAAGAGACCGAUAGCGCACAAGUA
rnacentral:rRNA from 1 species